UACGUAGGGUGCGAGCGUUGUCCGGAAUUACUGGGCGUAAAGAGCUCGUAGGCGGUUUGUCGCGUCUGCCGUGAAAGUCCGGGGCUCAACUCCGGAUCUGCGGUGGGUACGGGCAGACUAGAGUGAUGUAGGGGAGACUGGAAUUCCUGGUGUAGCGGUGAAAUGCGCAGAUAUCAGGAGGAACACCGGUGGCGAAGGCGGUUCUCUGGGCCUUACCUGACGCUGAGGAGCGAAAGCGUGGGGAGCAAACAGG
rnacentral:rRNA from 1 species